rnacentral:lncRNA from 1 species
AACUAUUGGCCAAAGUAAACAUUUGGUCAACCUUCCCAAUUUUGUAAUUUUUCAUAUUUUGGACAUUUUAUAACUAUGUAAUGAAUGAACUUGAUAUGUUUUGAAUGAAUUGGAUUGAAAAUGGAUUGAAAGUGGUUUUCAUAUUGGUUUUUUUUGUACAUGUAUGCUUGAAUUUGAAAUGAAAUGAAAUGAACAUGACUUGUAAAUGGAAUAGUUUAUGAACAAGGAUUUUGGCUUGAUGAACAAGGAUAAAAUUUUAAUGAACCACUAACCAAUG